UAAGACGAACCGUCCAAACGUUAUUCGGAAUCACUGGGCUUAAAGGGCGCGUAGGCGGCCGAGCGGGUCGCGGGUGAAAUCCUCCAGCUUAACUGGAGAACUGCCCUCGAUACCACUGCGGCUCGAGGAAGGAAGGGGCAAUCGGAACUGUCGGUGGAGCGGUGAAAUGCGUUGAUAUCGACAGGAACGCCGGUGGCGAAAGCGGAUUGCUGGUCCUUUUCUGACGCUGAUGCGCGAAAGCCAGGGGAGCAAACGGGAUUAGAUACCCCGGUAGUCCUGGCCUUAAACGAUGAGAACUAGGUAGUGGGUCCGACCUGGGCACACUGCCGAAGCGAAAGUCUUAAGUUCUCCGCCUGGGGAGUAUGGUCGCAAGGCUG
rnacentral:rRNA from 1 species